AAGUCUGUCUCAGGCUCUUAGCUCCCUGGCAGGGUUGCUGCUGGACGCCAGCCACAAGUGUUUAGUACUUGCAAACCCCUGCUUUUCUUCCCAAGUUCAACCACUCAAAAUUGUGCCAAACAUUGCAAACCAAAAAUUUUGGGUUGGUUUUGCAUGGUUUAUUACUAGCAAAAUCCCCUUCCUCUGCCCCUUUUUUUUUUUUCUUUUUUGCCAGUAUGUUUCACUUCUCUCGAAACCCACAGAAAACAUCCUUUGUUUUUUUUCUUGUUUCUCCCAAAAUGUGAGAUUUCCACAGCAGCUGUCCCAUGACUUAUUUUCCUCCCCGGGGGACCGAGGCGGGGAUGGAGUUACCUUCCCCAGAACAUUCCUCGAGGAGCAGCACGCCGGACUUGGUUACGCUUGGACAAAAGCGUCGCUCAGGAUCUUCUUGAAGCCUCAGUCAGCAGAAAGCGAGAAACGUGCUCGCUUCAGUCAGCCGUCUUCCCUUUCAUCUUUUGCCGCAGCACCUGUUUCAGGAAAUCGGGGAGAAGAAACAUCUAACUUUCAGUCUCCCAGACAUUUCUGGAUCAUUUUAAGGUAGCAACAGCACCGUGGCAGUGACUCGCAUUAUCGCAUUUAGAUACAUCUCUUUGUCUUCGCCAAUAUAACACACUUUGCGUUCUGGCUGGAAUACAGUACCCUCGUGGAUGCAUAUACGCACGCAUAUAGCUGUGCCUCGGCAAGGAAAUAAUACACUGUGAGCAGAAGCUGGUAAGGGGUUGGCCCUUCGCUGGCAGCUCAGCCGUGCUGCACCCGGGGCUGGAGGUGGCUGCUGGCUGGAGCAGCCCCGCUCGCGGCAGAGGGGCUGCCCAGGGGGAUUAAGGAGCUGCUCGGCAAAACCGACCCGCUGGCGGGACCCCGGGGUCUCUCCUUAAACAGCUUUCCUGGAGGGGCGGGCAGGGCGCAGGAGGUGGCGGGUGCGUGUGCCUGUCGCAUCGAUCCUGGCAGAAACCUCCUCCUCCCUGUUUGAUGCUGUUUUAUGGUGCUGGCAGGCUUCCAGGCUUGUUUUAUUGCUUCUGUCUUAAUUUCUCACUGUGACCGGCCAGUUAAGUAACAGGGCACCUGACUGUUUAAUGAGCAGCCGUGUCUCCGCGCUGCAUCCUGGAAACUUCCAUGUGGGUUUUAAAAAUAUAAAUGGGUUGAAGAGAUUGAUUUCUUUUUNNNNNNNNNNNNNNNNNNNNACCGUGCCACUAGAUUGCAAAAUGAUUGAUCAAAUGACCUUUUUUCCCAUUUACUGCCCUUCCCAGAAACCUGUCAUUUCAACAGACUACAAACAUCCCUGAUGAAAUCAAAUAGCCAUGCACUGGAUGUGAUGCAAAUGCUGUAAACCUAAAAUUUGUGAUACGUUUUAUGAUGUAACCAAUGGAGGGCUAGAUCUAAACACGUAUUGUCUCUCUAGCUGCCCCAUCUUCAACAGCUGUGGGAGCCUCUUGUGUGAGAAGGCUCCAGUCUUUGGGGGAAAGCCUAUUUCCCCUUCUACAGAGAAUUAGACCAGGAAGAGUAUAUAUAAAUAUAUCAACAUAUUUAUAAAUACUAUAUAU
ensembl:lncRNA